UCGUUUAUCAAAUCGAUUCUUUCAUCAACUUAAUGACAAAUGUUUGUUUUUAUGGCCUAUAGAUGCAUUCAACUUGAGUUCACUGUCACAGUGCAGCUUUUUUAUGAAGUCCACGAAGCCCAAAGCUGAUAAGACUGGCGAUUGAUCCUAAAGCUGAUUCUGACAGACGAUUGCAUCAUCACAGUAUUAAAGGUUCAAUAUACAGUCAGCCUCUCAUAAGAAAAAAUCCACAGAUCCAAGGCUUGCUUCAAAGUUAAGAGACCAUUCUGUGCCACAAAGAAAUAGUUUAGGAAGGGGAGAACUGGUGGAUUUGCAUUUUUGGUACAGUUCAAAGAGAUUUUCAAAAUGGUCAGAUCAGAGGGAGGACAACUGAAAAUAUUGAAAGAUACAGAUGGAAAAAGAACAAGGAAAUAUAUGGAAUAAUUAUGAAAUGGGGAGGAUGUACACAAUUUUGUCUGAAUUUGUCCUGUUAAGAUUUUCCAUUCUUAUUUGUAUGCUGGACUAUCAAAUAACUUGAUUUUUCAUAAAUUUACAAUAGAGAAUACAUGGCAGAUGUUGUUGCUGAUAU